CCGUGACUUCCGCUAUCUUGUAAGCCCCUUCUUGUUCGAUUUAGUUACCCAACACUUCCUUUCUCUUUUCCGAUAUCAGCUCUUUUAAUGACCAAGUUUUCUAUUUUCAGCUUCCUUGGUUUCACUCGACUGUUGUGGCAAUUGGACAUUUUCUACUUGAAGGCUAUCAUUCGGAGAGACUUUUUCUCGUCUCUUGUACCAUGUGGCUCAAAUUUCUUCAUUACUAGAAAAUUCGCUCUAUAACUUGGUAGACCAAUUUCAAUUGAGAUUACUGCUUCAGAACCAGAUACCAACCAAAAGGGUGUUUCAACAGUGGAGGUCAUAGAGCUCCUCCUUCCGCUUUCUAGCCUAUUCUGAAGUCCUGCAAAGUUGUCCUUUUAGAACCUUUAUUAUUCCACUUGUUUGCGGGCGGACUACAGAGUUCAACCUCAAAUCAAUCAAUAUUUUAUUGCAGAAUUUUCUACAUUUCUUAUUGGGGAAUUGAGUACGUUGAUAAGCACCUUUGGAAUGCCAUGUUUGCAAAUUACCUCUUUGCUAAAGUGUUUUUAGUCAGUAGUUAUUGCUUCUGUGAUUUUAGUCAGUAGUUCAUCCCCUAUCCAGUUGCUAAAGUGUUCCACUCCCCACAACUAUGUACUUGAACUACACUGGAGGCUUUGGUAAUGGUCGAGCGUGUCGAUUCUCCACAAAGAAAAAGCCAUGGCGAACCAAUAGCGUUCUGAUGAACUGCUAGUGCAUUGAGAAUAUUGUUAGUAGUACCCAUGAAACAUAGCUUCCAGACCACCCGAAUGAACCCCACAUAUUUCCUAACGCAGCUCCCUUGAUAAUCUCCAUCUUUCUGACUGACCCAUUUUAACCAAAUAACUCCUGUAUGCCUGCUCCAUUUGUGCUCCAAUUCAAUUGAAUUAAAUAUUUGGAUAUUUA
rnacentral:misc_RNA from 1 species